rnacentral:rRNA from 1 species
AGAGUUUGAUUCUUGGCUCAGGACGAACGCGGCGGCGUGCCUAAUACAUGCAAGUCGAGCGGACAGAUGGGAGCUUGCUCCUGAUGUUAGCGGCGGACGGGUGAGUAACACGUGGGUAACCUGCCUGUAAGACUGGGAUAACUCCGGGAAACCGGGGCUAAUACCGGAUGGUUGUUUGAACCGCAUGGUUCAAACAUAAAAGGUGGCUUCGGCUACCACUUACAGAUGGACCCGCGGCGCAUUAGCUAGUUGGUGAGGUAAUGGCUCACCAAGGCAACGAUGCGUAGCCGACCUGAGAGGGUGAUCGGCCACACUGGGACUGAGACACGGCCCAGACUCCUACGGGAGGCAGCAGUAGGGAAUCUUCCGCAAUGGACGAAAGUCUGACGGAGCAACGCCGCGUGAGUGAUGAAGGUUUUCGGAUCGUAAAGCUCUGUUGUUAGGGAAGAACAAGUACCGUUCGAAUAGGGCGGUACCUUGACGGUACCUAACCAGAAAGCCACGGCUAACUACGUGCCAGCAGCCGCGGUAAUACGUAGGUGGCAAGCGUUGUCCGGAAUUAUUGGGCGUAAAGGGCUCGCAGGCGGUUUCUUAAGUCUGAUGUGAAAGCCCCCGGCUCAACCGGGGAGGGUCAUUGGAAACUGGGGAACUUGAGUGCAGAAGAGGAGAGUGGAAUUCCACGUGUAGCGGUGAAAUGCGUAGAGAUGUGGAGGAACACCAGUGGCGAAGGCGACUCUCUGGUCUGUAACUGACGCUGAGGAGCGAAAGCGUGGGGAGCGAACAGGAUUAGAUACCCUGGUAGUCCACGCCGUAAACGAUGAGUGCUAAGUGUUAGGGGGUUUCCGCCCCUUAGUGCUGCAGCUAACGCAUUAAGCACUCC